GCUCCCAUAGCUCAAGCGGAUAGAGCAGAGGUUUCCUAAACCUCAGAUCCCAGUUCAACUCUGGGUGGGGGCUCCA
rnacentral:tRNA from 4 species